rnacentral:rRNA from 1 species
AUUGAACGCUGGCGGCAGGCCUAACACAUGCAAGUCGAACGAGUGGCGGACGGGUGAGUAAUGUCUGGGAAACUGCCUGAUGGAGGGGGAUAACUACUGGAAACGGUAGCUAAUACCGCAUACCAUCAGAUGUGCCCAGAUGGGAUUAGCUAGUUGGUGGGGUAACGGCUCACCAAGGCGAAGAUCCCUACCUGGUCUGAGAGGAUGACCAGCAACAUGGGAACGGAGACACGGUCCAGACUCCUCCGGUAGGAAGCAGUGGGGAUCAUUGCAAAAUGGGCGCAAGCCUGAUGCAGACAUGCGGCGUGUAUGAGGAAGGCCUUCGGGUUGAAAAGUACUUUCAGCGGGGAGGCGUUACCCGCAGAAGAAGCACCGGCUAACUCCGUGCCAGCAGCCGCGGUAAUUC